rnacentral:rRNA from 1 species
UGGGGAAUUUUGCACAAUGGGGGAAACCCUGAUGCAGCGACGCCGCGUGAUUUAGAAGGCCUUCGGGUUGUAAAAAUCUUUUCUAUGGGAAGAAAAUGACAGUACCAUAGGAAUAAGGACCGGCUAAUUACGUGCCAGCAGCCGCGGUAAUACGUAAGGUCCGAGCGUUGUCCGGAAUCAUUGGGCGUAAAGGGUACGUAGGCGGGUAAGCAAGUUAGAAGUGAAAUCCUAUAGCUCAACUAUAGUAAGCUUUUAAAACUGCUCAUCUUGAGGUAUGGAAGGGAAAGUGGAAUUCCUAGUGUAGCGGUGAAAUGUGCAGUUAUUAGGAGGAAUACCGGUGGCGAAGGUGACUUUCUGGCCAUAACCUGACGCUGAGGUACGAAAGCGUAGGUAGCAAGCAGG